rnacentral:rRNA from 1 species
GACGAACGCUGGCGGCGUGCUUAACACAUGCAAGUCGAGCGGGGGUAUUGACUUCGGUUGAUACCCUAGCGGCGGACGGGUGAGUAACGCGUGAGGAAUCUGUCCCUAGCAGGGGGAUAACACAUUGAAAGAUGUGCUAAUACCGCAUAAGACCACGAGAUCGCAUGAUCAUGAGGUCAAAGGAGCAAUCCGGAUAGGGAGGACUUCGCGUCCCAUUAGCUAGUUGGUGAGGUAACGGCCCACCAAGGCAACGAUGGGUAGCCGACCUGAGAGGGUGAUCGGCCACACUGGAACUGAGAGACGGUCCAGACUCCUACGGGAGGCAGCAGUGGGGAAUAUUGGGCAAUGGGCGAAAGCCUGACCCAGCAACGCCGCGUGAGGGAAGAAGGCUUUCGGGUCGUAAACCUCUGUCCCAUGGGACGAGAGAAAGACGGUACCAUGGGAGGAAGCCCCGGCUAACUACGUGCCAGCCGCCGCAGUAAAAC